rnacentral:lncRNA from 1 species
GGAGUGUGGGCUCGGCGGUCCUGCGGGCCUCUCCGGCGCGGGGGAGUCCUGGGAAGACGCGCGAGCCACAACUUCAGGGGGCGUGGCGGGAACGGGAGCCCCUACCGAAUGGGGUGGCAGAAGAACGAAGGCGACACCAAGCUGGCCCCUUGCGGGGGUCGGGACGGCGGGAGACCUCAUCCGGAGCCCUGGGCCCGCAGAGCCAGGAGACCGCGCCAAAAUACAUCAGGGAAGAGGGGAGGACGGAAUAAUGGGCCUGGGGACAAAGGAACCCACUGAAAGGGAACCCACUGAGGGUACGGAUUGCACCCGAGCCUGAGACAGCUGAAGGUUUGCAGUCGGUGACGUGGCGAGGUGGGCAAGGGACUCCAACUCCCAGCGGGCCCCGCGCGGCCUGGGCGGGGCCAGCUGUCCCUGGAGGCUCCGCCCAUUAGCCCCGGCGCCCAGGCUCCGCCCGCCGUCCCUGGCGACUCCAAGCUUCUCGCCACUCACGUCGCUCCCCGGCCUUCCGUGGAUUCGCUCAUUCGCUCUGCUAAAAUGGAAUGACUACUUACUAGUAGUUGUAUAAGAUUUUUCCCUCGAUUUUUGUUCCUUAAACGUGGGUAAUACCUAACCCUAGAGUGGUUAUGGGGAUCGAGCCCGAGGGGCUGUGCUUGACUGCUUGGCGCAGUCACUACUCAAAUGUUAGCUUUUCUUUAAAAACAACAACAAAAAUCUGUUAUGAGUACCCUGUCCAGUUCUGUGCUCGGCGACGACCGAAUCAGACCACGUCCCUCACAGGCCCCACGGUCCACUGGGGAGAGACAUAAUCACAGGCUGUGCUAAGUGUUAACUAGCGCACAUCCACAGGGCGAUGGGAUAUGACCAUAGCGAGGUAAAGUUAGCAAGCAAGGGAAGUCAAGAAAACGACCUGUGAGCAACCUGCCAUUCCAGAUGGCUGGAAAAGUGUGCAAAGAGGACAGAACAGCAAAGACAAAUCCUGAAAGUAGAAGGAAUAAAAGGGAGCCAGUGUGGGCGGAGUCGAGUGAAGGUAGAGAGGAGAAAUAGACACAGCUGUAGGAGGUUAGAGACGGAGUCCCUACUUCUGUUUCGGAUGUUGACUAAACAAUGUAGAUAGAUAUUGAUGUCAUAGCCUGGAGAGAGAAAUUCGGGAGUCAUCAGUGUUUGAAUGGAGACUGGAUGAGCUCACAAAGAGACUGGGACACUCAUCCCUUUAGCAGUCACGACAAUGAGAAGCAACCAGCAAAGGACACGGAGGAGUGGCCAGUGAAAUGGCAGAAGAACCCGUAGGCCUGUCCAUGUUUUCCUGCCCAGGGGCUCCCGAGGGCUGACUGGAGCCCAGCCUUAAACCCCAAAUCCAACCUGCAUUGUGGCCAAACGGAGUCAGUGCUCCCUGAACACAAACUGCAAGUUAGUUAUCAACAGGUACCUCCAAUGCCCUGUCAAUCACCCAUGUGAGGACAACCUGGCAGCAGGAAGGAGAAAAAACAGGAGCUGCUUUAAUCUCCCGGAAUCCUCACUUCUCCCCAUUCUUGUUGGUCCAAACCAUCAAGAUCUCUUGCCUGGGUGACGUCUCCUAACUCUUGCUGCCUUCUCUGUCACUACAAUAAUCAAAACCAUCCAAUGGCUUCCCAGUGCCUUUAGAAUUAAAUCCAAACUUGGUACUGUGGCCCCUGCUGCCGCCCCCCAAAAAAUCUCUCUCCCAUCCUUCCUGUUCUCUACCUGUUAAUGCCUUCCCAUCCCUCAGAACCCAUCAGGACACACGUGAGUUUGAAUGCCCUGAAUUGUAUAAGCAUGGAGAGCGGUAUACCAGGGUGUACUCCAGAGUGAGCAAAAUGGGAACUCAUGUCAGAAAGUGAAAUGAAAAUGUAGGCUGAAAUUCUAUCAGUAAUACUGCAACAAAACUCUCUGAAACCAUCUCACUUAACUCGGUCCACCAACUUGAAAGACACUUUCCUUUUCAUCUGUGAAGCCCACUGCUGGGGCUAGCAGGCUACUAUUAUGACUAAGCAAUUCCACUUCCAUCUCUCAAGCUGUUUACUUCCUGAAAGGUAGCUGUUUGAUCCAAACCUGUUUAUGCCAGAAGUUCUUGUUUAAUUUACUAUCAAACUAAUGAAAUUAAUGCAAGACAGUUGUUUAUACACAAACCAGAUUGCUUGCUUUGGAAAGACUAAAAGGGAGUUGUUAAAAGAAAAACAUGCCAGGCGUGGUGGCUCACACCUGUAAUUCUGCACUUUGGGAAGCCGAGGUGGGCAGAUCACUUCAGGUCAGGAGUUCAAGACCAGUCUGGCCAACAUGGUGAAACACCGUCUCCACUAAAAAUACAAAAGUUAACCGGGCAUGGUGGUGUAUGCCUGUAGUCCCAGCUACUCUGGAGGCUAAGGCAGGAGAAUCGAUUGAACCCAGGGGGUGGAGGUUGCAGUGAGCUGAGAUCUCACCACUGCAACUCCAGCCUGAGCAACAAAGCAAGACUCCAUCUCUUAAAAAAAAAAAAAUGCUGCCAAGUUAGGUACAAGUAAAGCAACUGUAAAUUAUUUAAUGAAAAAGCUUAUAAAAACCUAGGAAGACUCAGCCCCCAGUUUGUUUCAUAAAUGUCUUUAGGUUCUCAAGCCACUUAAAAAAAUGACUCAUUGUGGUUUGUGGGUGGAGCUUAUACAAGAAUGUGAUGUUCUACUGGGCGCAGUGGCUCAUGCCCGUAAUCCCAACACAUUGGGAGGCUGAGGUGGGAAGAUUGCUUGAGCCCAGGAGCUCGAGACCAGCCUGGGCAACACAGUGAGACUCCCACCUCUACAAAAACAACAAUAAUUUUCUAGGCAUGGUGGCAUGCACCUGUGGUCCCAGCUACUCAGGAGGCUGAGGUGGGAGGAUCUCUUGAGUCCAGGAGAUUGAGGCUGUAGUGAGCCGUGUUCACACCACUGCACUUCAGUCCAAGUGACAAAGUGAGACCCUGUCUCAAAAACAAGAAUGUAAUGUCGUGUGCUAACUAGGAGACCAAUACUGAAAGAAAGGGUCUUGGUCCUACGUACAAGAGAUGUCUGUUUAAAUGUUCUUGGUUAAAAUAAGAUGUUUAAAGUGUUAAGAUGGCCGUUAGUGCUAUUUGCCAUAUAUUUCUAGCUCCACACUUGGCCAGCAUUUGACCCCAUUUAGCUUGAGUGCGGCCAUGUGAUUAAUUUUGGCCAGUAAGGUGUGAGGCCAUGUGAUUACAUCUGGCCAAUGAGAUAUGAGCAGAAGUGACACAUGUGAAUUCAGCAAGAGCACAUAAUUGCUAAUGGAAGACCAGACCCCUCUGCCUUUACUAUGUCCAUUGGCAACCUUCAUGAUCUGUCCGCACGGGCUCCAAGCUGACACUCAAUACAGCACGAGUGACAAAAUCCACCUUGGCUGUUUCAAGCCACUGCAAUCUGGGGGUAAUCUGGCCUUUCCUGAUAUACACAAUUUUUUUUUCCCAAAUAAUCCCAGUUUAACCAACAUUUGUUAAACCAAUCAACUACCAAGUCUGAGUUUCCUAGAAGAACAAACUGGCAGUACAUAUAGGUUGGAUGACAUAGGCUAGGACACAAUGACAACAUGGACAAAGUGUUUUAUACUGGCCGGGCACGGUGGCUCAUGCCUGUAAUCCUAGCACUUUGGGAGGCUGAGGCAGGUGGAUCACCUGUUGUCAGGAGACCAGCCUGGCCAACCUGGUGAAACCCCAUCUCUACUAAAAAUACAAAAAUUAGCCAGACGUGGUGGCAGGCGCCUGCAAUCCCAGCUACUCAGGAAUACAAAUACAGUCUCCUGAUUGAUCCUCCAAUUCAAGCAGGAGAAUUGCUUAAACCCGGGGAGGCGGAGGUUGCAGUGAGCUGCACUCCAAUCUGGGCGACAGAGCGACAUUCUGUCUCAAAAAAUGCUAAUAGGCUGGGUGCGGUGGCUCACACCUGUAAUCCCAGCACUUUGGGAGGCUGAGGCGGGCAAAUCAUGAGGUCAGGAGUUCAAGACCAGCCUGGCCAACAUGGUGAAACCAUGUCUGUACUAAAAAUACAAAAAAUUAGCUGGGCAUGGUAGUGGGUGCCUGUAAUCCCAGCUACUUGGGAAGCUGAGGCAGGAGAAUCACUUGAACCCAGGAGGCGGAGGUUGCAUUGAGCUGAGAUUGUGCCACUGCACUCCAGCCCAGGUAACAGUGUGAGACUCCGUCUCAAAACAAACAAAUAAAAAAGAUAAUAAAAUGCUUUAUGCUAAGAAAUGGGAGUAAGAUCAUCUCUGGCUUGGAUUUUUCUUUUCUUUCUUUGCAAUUACAAAAUAGUUUAUGGCUGAUUUUUUUUUUAAAGGUCUGCCUGAUACAUGCUUUGCAAACUCUAGGUAUUUCAACUUUGUCAUCAUCGUGUGUGUCCAGACGCAGAGGCUCACACCUGUAGUUUCAACACUUUGGGAGGCUGAGGUUGGAGCAUUGCUUGAGCCCAGGAGUUUGAGACCAGCCUGGGCAACAUAGCAAGACCCCAUCUCUACAACUAUAAAACUAGCCAGGCGUGGUGUUACAUGUCUCUAGUCCCAGCUACUCUGGAGGCUGAGGUAGGAGAAUUACUUGAGGCCAGGAGUUCGAGACCAGCCUGAGCAACAGAGUAAAACUCUGUCUCUACAAAAAAUACAAAAAUUAGCUGGGCAUGGUGGUGCGUGUCUGUAGUCCCAGCUACUCGACAAGUGGAGGUGGGAAGACUGCUUGACCCCUCUAGGCAGAGGCUGCAGUGAACCAAGGUCAUGCCACUGCACUCCAGGGUUGACAGAGUGAGACCCCUGGCAAUAAUAGUAGUUAAUAUUUCUCAAGAACUUCAUGUCUGAACUCACUGAAUUCUCACACAGCAGGCCAUGAGUUCAACAAUCUUUUAAUCCCCACUCCACAGAUGGGGAAACCAAGGAUCUGGAAGCAAAAGCCUGACGUCACAGGCUGCGGAGACACGGGACAGGGACAGGGCCCAGGUUCUUAAUCUCAGUAGGUGUUGGCCUCCACUUUGUGGAAUAAACAAGGGGCCAAGCCCCUCGGGCUUGGGACCGUCUUACCCUCGUCACUGCCGCGCUUCUCAGCCUCUCUGCCACCAUCUGCCCUCCAGCACAGACCAUGCUGAGUGUUCCCAGAUUGUAAAAGACAUACAUCUGCCCUAUCCCCAAACCCAGCGUCCUGGGUUUGAGAUUACAGGCAGGAGCCACUGUGCCCAGCCCCCUGGGCUAUUUUUAAAAAUAAAUAAAAUGAAGGCUUUUUGUCCAAACUUCAAGAUAUGUUGUUAGAUUGAAAAACAAACAAAAAAAUGAUAGAAUAAAGGAGAUUGCCACUGGAUAGAAAAGCCAGAAAAUCAAUCAGUUUCUCUAUUUGCUUGUACCUGCUUAUACGUCUCUCUGAAAAGACACUUAAGCAAUUGGUAACUGAUCUCUAGAGGGAGCUGAGAGAGACUGCAUUGGUUGGUUUCUGGAGCCCCUCCAAGUGUGAACCAUAGGAAGGUUUCUCGUAUAUGCGAAACAUGAAUACAACAUUUUUUGGGUCAUGUAAAUAAAGUUGGCAUACUUAGUUUUGAAAUUCUGCUGCUGGGAAUGCAUCCCAUAGGAAUGCCUGCACAAGUGGGUUAAAAAAAUACACAUUCAUCCUCUCCAGCAUGUCUGAUAAUAGUGAAAAACUGGCCGGGCGUGGUGGCUCACGCCUGUAAUCCCAGCACUUUGGGAGCCCGAGGUGGGUGGAUCACUUGAGGUCAGGAGUUCGAGACCAACCUGGGCAACAUGGCAAAAUCCCAUCUCUACUAAAAAUACAAAUAUUAGCUGGGUGUGGUGGUAUGUGCCUGUAAUCCCAGCUACUCGGGAGGCGGAGGCUGCAGUGAGCUGAGAUCACACCAGUGCACUCCAGCCUGGGCAAUAGAGCGAGACUCCAUCUCAAAAAAAAAAAGAAGAAAUAAAAGAAAAACUGGACAGGCCCUCAACUGGCAGGGUGCAGUGUGGUGGGCACCCUGAAAGACAGCCCCCAUGACCCUCACCUCCUGUCUGCACUGUCCUCUCAGCUUGAGUGUGGGCAGAACCUAGCAACUUGUUGUAAUGUACAGAAUAUAGCAAGAGUGACAAGAUAUCACUUCCAAGAUUGGGUUACAAAAGACUGCAGCUUCCACCUUGGGCGUCCUCUCUCAUUUCUGUUUUUCUUUUUUUUUGAGACAGUUUCACUCUUGCAGCCCAGACUGGUGUGCAAUGGUGUGUUCUUGGCUCACUGCAACCUCCACCUCCUGGGUUCAAGCGAUUCUCCUGCCUCAGCAUUCCGAGUAGCUGGGAUUUCCCAGAUGCCUGCCACCACGCCCAGCUAAUAUUUUGUAUUUUUAGUAGAGACAGGGUUUCACCAUGUUGGCCAGGCUGGUCUCAAACUCCUGACCUCAGGUGAUCCACCCGCCUUGACCUCCCAAAAGUGCUGGGAUUACAGGCAUGAGCCACCGCACCCAGCCCUUCUCAUAUUUCUAGAGAAGCUGGAUGCCACAUUGCAACUGCAAGGUGCCCUGUGAAGAGGCCUGCAACGGCGAGAAAACAAGGGAGACCUCCAGCCAACAGCUAGGAACUGAGGCUCUCGGCCCCAUCACCUGUGAGGAACUGAAUCCUGCCAACAGGCAUGUGAGUGGGCUGGAAGUGGGCCCUCCUCACGGAGCCUUCCGAUGACUGCACAGCCCCAGCCACCAGCUCGACCGCAACCCCGAGAGCCUGGGAGCCAGCAGCUCAGCCAAGCCUGGAUUCUUGACCCCCAGCAACGGUGAGGCAAUAAAUGCUUCUUGUUUUAAGCCACUCGGUGGUGGGGUUUGUUACACAACAGAUAACUUAUAGGCAGGAUGGCUCGUGGAACUGAAAUGCGUCCAUUUAGUGCACUACCUGAGGCCACCAUGAGAAGUGGGGACAUAGAGGAACAGGUAAUUAACAGUGCAGGCAGGCCAGGUCGGUGGCUCACACCUGUAAUCCCAGCAUUUUGGGAGGCUGAGGUG